GAUAGUAUGGCUGAAGGUUAGGCGAUAAAUUGUAAAUUUAUUUAUAAAAUUAAUAUUUUUACUAUUA
rnacentral:tRNA from 1 species